UUUUCUCCACGCACAUAAAUCCUUACUAAUGUGUCAAUAUCCACUCCUCAAGUAACCUUUAACUAGUUUCCAACAAUAGGAGCUAAUUAACUAACUUAAUAAUGAAAGAGAGGGAGAGAGAGAAGAGUCAAAAACAUGUUUUUUCCCUUCAAAAAAUCACAUCUUUAAUAAUAAUCCCCACUACAUAAGGAAGAGCACUUGUUAGGUCCAAAUUUGCUCCCAAGUUACCAAUUCCCAAAGUAAAGCCACACCUUUUCCACGAAGCAACCCACUAGUUGAUGGAGAAGCGCUUUUCAAGUUUCCUCUUGGAAAGGUACACUCCCUGUGGCUCCCAAAAGCCCAAGUGCUGCUGCAGCAGGCCUGCAGCUUCUUCCAAAAUCCAAACCUGGAACUAAUUCUAUUUAUUAAGUUAUUGAAUCUUCUUUUCUUUUCUUUUCUUUUCUUGAGAGAUAGAUAGCAAGAUACUUACUUCAUUUAUUUCAUUUAGAAAUAAACUUAGUCAGAUUGGUCUGACUCUUUUAGCAUGGUAUCAGAACUUACAAAGUGAACGAGUUGAUUUUUGAUUUAGCCAACUCGUUUUUCCAACCUAAUUUCCGGUUUCGUUCUUAUCUGAUUUUAUCCACUUCUCUCAACCCAACUUUGUAACAUGCUGAAAUAUAGUAAAAAAAGGUUAGUUUCACGUAACGAUCAUUUAGAAUUAUGAAUCGUAUAUAAUAUAUAAGAAUUUUUCAAUUUAGCCUUCAAUUGGAAGAGAUGAUAAAUACAUACAUAUUCAUCUUUGAAACAACUCACUCUCAAAUCUUAUUAGAAACCGUAAAACUCUUUCUAUCAUCCAACUCAGAAUCGAACAUGAAUAAUCUAGAUUGAAANUUCUUAGUAAUAGGAUUAAUAGAAAUAAGAUUCUCGGAUAUCUUUUAUUCCUACUAAUCUUUUAUAAUGCGAACCAAACGCACCCUAAAAGUAUUCUAGUCCUACUCAAAAAUCACAUCUUUAAUAAUAAUCCCCACUACAUAAGGAAGAGCACUUGUUAGGUCCAAAUUUGCUCCCAAGUUACCAAUUCCCAA
rnacentral:lncRNA from 1 species